UACGUAGGUGGCAAGCGUUGUCCGGAUUUACUGGGCGUAAAGAGCGCGCAGGCGGUCGUUCAAGUCGCGUGUGAAAGCCCCCGGCUCAACUGGGGAGGGUCACGCGAUACUGAUCGACUCGAAGGCAGGAGAGGGUAGUGGAAUUCCCGGUGUAGCGGUGAAAUGCGCAGAUAUCGGGAGGAACACCGGUGGCGAAGGCGGUUCUCUGGGCCUUACCUGACGCUGAGGAGCGAAAGCGUGGGGAGCGAACAGA
rnacentral:rRNA from 1 species